rnacentral:rRNA from 1 species
UACGGGGGGAGCAAGCGUUGUUCGGAUUUACUGGGCGUAAAGGGCGCGUAGGCGGCGUGACAAGUCACUUGUGAAAUCUCCGGGCUUAACUCGGAGCGGCCAAGUGAUACUGUCGUGCUAGAGUGCGGAAGGGGCUACUGGAAUUCUCGGUGUAGCGGUGAAAUGCGCAGAUAUCAGGAGGAACACCGAUGGCGAAGGCAGGUCUCUGGGCAUUAACUGACGCUGAGGAGCGAAAGCAUGGGGGAGCGAACAGG